UUAAGUUAGAAAGGGCGCACGGUGGAUGCCUUGACACUAGGAGUCGAUGAAGGACGGGACUAACGCCGAUAUGCUUCGGGGAGCUGUAAGUAAGCUUUGAUCCGAAGAUUUCCGAAUGGGGAAACCCACCAUACGUAAUGGUAUGGUAUCCUUAUCUGAAUACAUAGGGUAAGGAAGACAGACCCAGGGAACUGAAACAUCUAAGUACCUGGAGGAAGAGAAAGCAAAUGCGAUUUCCUGAGUAGCGGCGAGCGAAACGGAACAUAGCCCAAACCAAGAGGCUUGCCUCUUGGGGUUGUAGGACAUUCUAUACGGAGUUACAAAGGAACGAGGUAGACGAAGCGACCUGGAAAGGUCCGUCGUAGAGGGUAACAACCCCGUAGUCGAAACUUCGUUCUCUCUUGAAUGUAUCCUGAGUACGGCGGAACACGUGAAAUUCCGUCGGAAUCUGGGAGGACCAUCUCCCAAGGCUAAAUACUCCCUAGUGAUCGAUAGUGAACCAGUACCGUGAGGGAAAGGUGAAAAGCACCCCGGAAGGGGAGUGAAAGAGAUCCUGAAACCGUGUGCCUACAAAUAGUCAGAGCCCGUUAACGGGUGAUGGCGUGCCUUUUGUAGAAUGAACCGGCGAGUUACGAUCCCGUGCGAGGUUAAGCUGAAGAGGCGGAGCCGCAGCGAAAGCGAGUCUGAAUAGGGCGUUUAGUACGUGGUCGUAGACCCGAAACCAGGUGAUCUACCCAUGUCCAGGGUGAAGUUCAGGUAACACUGAAUGGAGGCCCGAACCCACGCACGUUGAAAAGUGCGGGGAUGAGGUGUGGGUAGCGGAGAAAUUCCAAUCGAACCUGGAGAUAGCUGGUUCUCCCCGAAAUAGCUUUAGGGCUAGCCUUAAGUGUAAGAGUCUUGGAGGUAGAGCACUGAUUGGACUAGGGGUCCUCAUCGGAUUACCGAAUUCAGUCAAACUCCGAAUGCCAAUGACUUAUCCUUAGGAGUCAGACUGCGAGUGAUAAGAUCCGUAGUCAAAAGGGAAACAGCCCAGACCGCCAGCUAAGGUCCCAAAGUGUGUAUUAAGUGGAAAAGGAUGUGGAGUUGCUUAGACAACUAGGAUGUUGGCUUAGAAGCAGCCACCAUUUAAAGAGUGCGUAAUAGCUCACUAGUCGAGUGACUCUGCGCCGAAAAUGUACCGGGGCUAAACACACCACCGAAGCUGCGGAUUGAUACCAAUGGUAUCAGUGGUAGGGGAGCGUUCUAAGGACAGUGAAGUCAGACCGGAAGGACUGGUGGAGUGCUUAGAAGUGAGAAUGCCGGUAUGAGUAGCGAAAGACGGGUGAGAAUCCCGUCCACCGAAUGCCUAAGGUUUCCUGAGGAAGGCUCGUCCGCUCAGGGUUAGUCAGGACCUAAGCCGAGGCCGACAGGCGUAGGCGAUGGACAACAGGUUGAUAUUCCUGUACCACCUCUUUAUCGUUUGAGCAAUGGAGGGACGCAGAAGGAUAGAAGAAGCGUGCGAUUGGUUGUGCACGUCCAAGCAGUUAGGCUGAUAAGUAGGCAAAUCCGCUUAUCGUGAAGGCUGAGCUGUGAUGGGGAAGCUCCUUAUGGAGCGAAGUCUUUGAUUCCCCGCUGCCAAGAAAAGCUUCUAGCGAGAUAAAAGGUGCCUGUACCGCAAACCGACACAGGUAGGCGAGGAGAGAAUCCUAAGGUGUGCGAGAGAACUCUGGUUAAGGAACUCGGCAAAAUGACCCCGUAACUUCGGGAGAAGGGGUGCUUUCUUAACGGAAAGCCGCAGUGAAUAGGCCCAAGCGACUGUUUAGCAAAAACACAGCUCUCUGCGAAGCCGUAAGGCGAAGUAUAGGGGGUGACACCUGCCCGGUGCUGGAAGGUUAAGGAGAGGGGUUAGCGUAAGCGAAGCUCUGAACUGAAGCCCCAGUAAACGGCGGCCGUAACUAUAACGGUCCUAAGGUAGCGAAAUUCCUUGUCGGGUAAGUUCCGACCCGCACGAAAGGUGUAACGAUUUGGGCACUGUCUCAACCAGAGACUCGGUGAAAUUAUAGUACCUGUGAAGAUGCAGGUUACCCGCGACAGGACGGAAAGACCCCGUGGAGCUUUACUGUAGCCUGAUAUUGAAUUUUGGUACAGUUUGUACAGGAUAGGCGGGAGCCUUUGAAACCGGAGCGCUAGCUUCGGUGGAGGCGCUGGUGGGAUACCGCCCUGACUGUAUUGAAAUUCUAACCUACGGGUCUUAUCGACCCGGGAGACAGUGUCAGGUGGGCAGUUUGACUGGGGCGGUCGCCUCCUAAAGUGUAACGGAGGCGCCCAAAGGUUCCCUCAGAAUGGUUGGAAAUCAUUCGUAGAGUGCAAAGGCAUAAGGGAGCUUGACUGCGAGACCUACAAGUCGAGCAGGGACGAAAGUCGGGCUUAGUGAUCCGGUGGUUCCGCAUGGAAGGGCCAUCGCUCAACGGAUAAAAGCUACCCCGGGGAUAACAGGCUUAUCUCCCCCAAGAGUCCACAUCGACGGGGAGGUUUGGCACCUCGAUGUCGGCUCAUCGCAUCCUGGGGCUGUAGUCGGUCCCAAGGGUUGGGCUGUUCGCCCAUUAAAGCGGUACGCGAGCUGGGUUCAGAACGUCGUGAGACAGUUCGGUCCCUAUCCGUCGUGGGCGUAGGAAAUUUGAGAGGAGCUGUCCUUAGUACGAGAGGACCGGGAUGGACGCACCGCUGGUGUACCAGUUGUUCUGCCAAGGGCAUAGCUGGGUAGCUAUGUGCGGAAGGGAUAAGUGCUGAAAGCAUCUAAGCAUGAAGCCCCCCUCAAGAUGAGAUUUCCCAUAGCGUAAGCUAGUAAGAUCCCUGAAAGAUGAUCAGGUUGAUAGGUUCGAGGUGGAAGCAUGGUGACAUGUGGAGCUGACGAAUACUAAUAGAUCGAGGACUUAACCAU
rnacentral:rRNA from 1 species